GACGAACCGUGCGAACGUUGUUCGGAAUCACUGGGCUUAAAGGGCGCGUAGGCGGGCUGUCAAGUCUGGGGUGAAAUGCCGCGGCUCAACCGUGGAACUGCCUUAGAUACUGACGGCCUCGAGGAAGGUAGGGGCAUGCGGAACUGUAGGUGGAGCGGUGAAAUGCGUUGUUAUCUACAGGAACUCCGGUGGCGAAAGCGGCGUGCUGGACCUUUUCUGACGCUGAGGCGCGAAAGCUAGGGGAGCAAACGGG
rnacentral:rRNA from 1 species